rnacentral:lncRNA from 1 species
GCAGUUCCCCCGCACUUUGCCUGCCACCAUGUAAGAUGUGUCUUUGCGCCUCCUUUGCCUUCCACCAUGAUUGUGCGGCCUCCCCAGCCAUGUGGAACGACACAACUCUUCACCAGUGCACAAAACCUGAUGAGAAGGAUACAGACUGGAUUUUGGUCCAGCUUGCUGCUUAACUAGGUUCCCUUGCACAACGCACAACCUGUGCAAUGAUUAUGCAGUGAAAUUGAUGGCCAUUACCUAACGUGGCUUCAGUGACCAUGUUUUCAAAACUGGGAGUCAGAGUGCAUGGCUUGACAUCAAGGCUUUGUGUCACA